AAAGCUCUAACCCAGUGCCCCAAGCCUUAGGUCUUCCAUACCCCGGCAGCGGGCCCCGCCCCUCGGUUUCCCAACCUGCCUGACCCCGCCCUGCCUCUCCUAACUCCUCCCAGGCCCCGCCUCCGCCGCUUCCCACAGCCCUUCCCGUCGGCUCCUGGCUCCAGGCUCCCACCCGGCUCGGCGGAGGUGGAAGCGCGCAGGCGCCGUUGGCGGCAGGCAGAGUGCGGAGUAGCGGCGCGGGGUGCGCGAGAGGCGAUUCCAAGAUGAUAAGGAACAAAGGGUAGGUUUUAAUUUGGAAGACUUGGAGCAUCAGACUUCUUGUAGGCCAAACACAGUAGCACAUAUCAGAAACAGGUAUGCAACCAUGGAGUUCUGACUGCUUGCUUUACUGAGAUAGCCUUGAGAAAGUCGGUUAAACUAACCAACAUGAGGGCAGGUUUUAUGUUAUUGAAUAUUUUGAUGAUCAGACUCCUG
rnacentral:lncRNA from 1 species